UACGUAGGGGGCAAGCGUUGUCCGGAUUUAUUGGGCGUAAAGAGCGUGUAGGCGGCCAGAUAGGUCCGUUGUGAAAACUCGAGGCUCAACCUCGAGACGCCGAUGGAAACCAUUUGGCUAGAGUCCGGAAGAGGAGAGUGGAAUUCCUGGUGUAGCGGUGAAAUGCGCAGAUAUCAGGAAGAACACCCGUGGCUAAGGCGGCUCUCUAGUACGGUACUGACGCUGAGACGCGGAAAAGCGUGGGGGAGCGAACAGG
rnacentral:rRNA from 1 species